ACGCCCAUGGGCUUGUCCAGUCC
rnacentral:snRNA from 1 species